UGACGUUAACUAAAUGAAACCUGUAGAUGUACGUUUUGUUGAUUCAGAACAUUGCGGCACAGCAGAGCUUGAGAAGAUUUACCAAAUAUUGCAUGAGUAGCAAGCUUCACAAAGCAAAAGACUGAGGGAUAAUAUUUUGCAUGACCUCAGUCUUGAAACUCAAGGCUAAUUAGCUCGUCUGAUUGCGACAAACUUGCUGUGUGGAAAUCUGUGACAGGCGUCAUUCCCAAAAGCCUUGGAGUCAUCAGAAGCUUCCUGUGGUGGAGUCUGUAUGUUGGGAGAGCUC